rnacentral:lncRNA from 1 species
ACACUGUCUCCUGUCAGCUUUCUCUCCCUCCCCCGGCCCUCCUGCUGAUGAGAGACAGGAGCGAUGGAUGGUCUGAGUUAGCGGGGUCCCGGCACCACCCAGCGCAAAGGCACUGCACUCACGCACGCCAUGCACAUGCUGGCUCACCUCCUCCAUCCCAUGCCUCCCCUGUCUCCAGCAUUCCCUCUGGAAUACAUCAGCACUGUUGCCUUUGAGGCUGGCCUGCUUGAAUGCACACCUGAGCUCCGGAUUCACAGCAAUUUCUUGGAUGAUUCACAGUGGAGGAAGCCAGAUGCCAUGUCAUGAGGGUGCUCAAGCAACUUUUUGGAGAUGUAUGUAUGGAGAGAAACUGAGGCCUCCUGCCAACAGCCAGCACUAACUUGGCAAGCAUGUUUGAGAGCCACCUGGGAAGUGGAGCCUUCAGCCCCAGUUAAGCCUUCAGAUGAGACUGCAGUCCUGGCCACCAUCUGGACUGCAACUUCACAAGAGCUCCUAAGCCAGAGCCAUGCAGAUGGAUUCUUGGCCCCCAGAAAUUGUGCCACUACAUUUUGGGAAAUUUAUUAUGCAGCCAUAGAUUACCAAUACACUCACUAUUUCUUUUUUCUGAUGCCAUACUAUA